rnacentral:misc_RNA from 1 species
GAUGAAGAACGCAGUGAAAUGCGAUAAGUAGUGUGAAUUGCAGAAUUCCGUGAAUCAUCGAAUCUUUGAACGCAUCUUGCGCUCCUUGGUAUUCUGAGGAGCAUGCCUGUUUGAGUGUCAUUAAAUUCUCAACUACACUGACUUUGAAUUGGUGUGGCUUGGAUUUGGGGGGAAAAUUGUUGUGGGCUUUUUGUAUAGUCUGCUCCCCUGAAAUUGAUUAGCGGUACCUUUGUGGAACUGUCUACAGGUGUGAUAAUUAUCUACAUCUUAGACAUCUGCUGGAAUGCUGCUUUCUAAACCUUACUUGUAUUGACAAUCUUGACCUCAAAUCAGGUAGGACUACCCGCUGAACUUAAGCAUAUCAAUAAGCGGAGGA